UACGUAGGGUGCAGGCGUUAAUCGGAAUUACUGGGCGUAAAGCGUGCGCAGGCGGUUUGCUAAGACAGGUGUGAAAUCCCCGGGCUUAACCUGGGAACUGCGCUUGUAACUGGCAAGCUAGAGUGUGGCAGAGGGGGGUGGAAUUCCAGGUGUAGCAGUGAAAUGCGUAGAUAUCGGAAGGAACAUCAGUGGCGAAAGCGACUUCCUGGACCAGUACCGACGUUCAGGCACGAAAGCGUGGGGAGCAAACAGG
rnacentral:rRNA from 1 species